rnacentral:rRNA from 1 species
CAGCAGCCACGGUAAUACGAAGGGUGCAAGCGUUAAUCGGAAUUACUGGGCGUAAAGCGUGCGUAGGCGGUGGGUUAAGUCUGCUGUGAAAUCCCCGGGCUCAACCUGGGAAUGGCAGUGGAUACUGGCUCGCUAGAGUGUGUCAGAGGAUGGUGGAAUUCCCGGUGUAGCGGUGAAAUGCGCAGAGAUCGGGAGGAACAUCAGUGGCGAAGGCGGCCAUCUGGGACAACACUGACGCUGAGGCACGAAAGCGUGGGGAGCAAACAGGAUUAGAUACCCGCGUAGUCCCUGUCUCUUAUAC